UAGUGUGCAAUUUUGUUCAUCCAGAGGAUAUCUGCGUAGAUCCAUCAUGCAAGCAGCUGUUGUCGUGAUCCUGCAAGAGGAGGGUGAAAAAAAUCAGGAAACUUGAAACCACAUUUGACUUGUUUGAGAAGGACUUCUACUGUCAAGGUCCUUCAAUAGGACUUCUUCUGUGCUAAGUAGCUAAGUAGAAGCGUCUCGGAGAAUGAAACCAAACCAGACACCAAGAUAUAUAUGUGUGAAAGAAAGACAUUUUCAGGUUUUCCCCUUGUGUUGACAGAAGAGGAAUCCAGGCAACAUCUUCCGCACCCAGACUAGCUUGCAAAUGGAAGGCUUAAGAGCUUGCUUGCUCAAAAUGACUGGUACUCUGUAACUCUUCAGGAACACCUCUAUGACUUCUCACAUAGCUACUCCAGAUCAACUUCAACCACUGCAGCACGUCUCAAACUGAAACCUGUACUCUGAAGCAGAAGCGCCGAGGAAAUGCACAAAGACAAGGACUGAAAUUAUUUCUUGCUUUCUUCUGAUGCCUGGCCUGUUGGAUUUUCAAGGAUGGAGGAGUCUGCUUCUUUUUCUGUGGCUGUAGUUUUACCUAUGCACUGGAAAAAUUAGCCAGAACAGUAGCUUCAGCACUAAAAUUACUCCAACAGUGAGACAGAGGCAACUGGUCUUUUUAAACGAAGAGAAAUGAGGUAUAACAAGCUUUCUUGGGUGGCACGGAAACUCUUUGAUAGUAGAAAAGCUUAAUCCAUUCUUGAUUUUGCCAAACACCAGUAGGACACAGAAUGGUUUUGAAUGCAGGGUGUCCUCUGACUCUGCAUUAUGUAUGACUUGCAAAUCGCACAUGGGUUAUCCUGACACUGAUGAACCCUGCUUCUUUUUAACCCAGAAGGAAGAGGAAGACAGUAACUACUCAAGUGCAAAGAAAUUUGAUGUGAGGAUUUUAGGACAUCAUGGCCCAACAUGGUUUGAAACUUGCCCCUGUACCCAGGAGAGUGCAACAGAAAGUGGGGGUGGCAUUUUUUAUUGGGGUCCCAUGGAGAAAAAAGAUGAAAGGUAAAGAGCAGGAGAAACCCUGAUGCAAAGGCAGAGAGUUUCCACUAGACUCUGUGAUUAGCUUUUAUGGCCACACUUUAUAAAGAACUUACCUAUGAAAUCUAUUACCAACAUUUAUCAACUAGGAGAGAUUGUAAUAGCAGCAAUAAAUGGCUCUUUACUAUAUGAUAUUGUGCUGUUUUAUGCUUGUAAGUGACUGCAAGACCUAAUCAAGGUAUGCUUUUACCAUUUAUAGAGCAGAGCUUAAAUUAUCAAGCCUUUACAGACCACUUAAAUAAUUUUUAAUAUUAAGUGUAAUCAAUUUCUAAAGUUCUUCUCAGGUCUCUAGUAUUUGCUAAUUUCCCUAGUUCUCCCAUCCUUACUCUCUGUGAUCCUGAACAGAUAGUAAGCACACUCCAUUUGUACCAGACAGGUAGUUGAAUGUGAAAACUAAUAACUCCAGCCAGCAAAGCUGGCAGAAUAAUUAUGUCUUGAUUCAUAUGUUGAGAGGAAAACUCAAGCGCAUCUGAAGAAAAUGAGCUGCAGUUAAUCUACCGUGUGCAGUGACUAAUUUCAUCGGAGAACUGAAAGUGAAAUGAAAAUCUUGCACUAGGAGCUUAAUGAGGAGAUCUUUGCUUUCACAAAAAUGUUGACCCUUCUGGCAGUGUAAAGUGUGAACAGAGAAAUUAGAUUGUCUUCUUUCAGGCCCCUGACCUGGGAGGAAAGCUGAUGUGACUUUUAUAUGGAAAACUGAUCGAUGACUAUGGCCUGUCAAUGGAUCUUAAUUGGAAAACAAAGCAGAGAAGAAAUGAAUGUUUUCAGUGUAUUUGGUCCAAGACUUACUCUGUGAUAAUGAAUCAGUGUAAGGCAUGUAUUAUAUCAAAUAAAUUUCUAGCUACAGCAGCUUAUUAAUUCAUAACCCCUUUGAAUGAGCAUAAAUUAACAAUAACUUUCAAGUAAAUUUAGGACAGUGGGGUGUUUCUGUUAUUUUGGUAUGGCUCUUUUGUAUUUCUUACACCUUAUUUGUCUUUAUGAAUUAUGUCAGGUCAGGUAUAACAAACAUAGGAACAAGAAUUGUACCCUAACAUCCAUUUUAAUUAAAAAACAAGAUUUGUCACACAAGGGGAAGGAAAGGGUGUCUGGGUCACUGUUCUUACUACUGCAAGUACCACCUCAUGCUAUUUCUUUCAUAAACUGACCAACGUGUCUCAAAAUACUUGGGAGUAGUAGGGUAAACUAUCACAUAGUGAGGUUUUUAGGAAACAUGUUUUUGUGAUGGCUAGCUUUCUAAUUUCCAGUGUGAAUUUAUUUAUGGCUGCUCUCUACACAUUUGUCUUUAGGAUAGUAUUGUCCUUCGGCUUACACAGCACUCCUCCCUACAGUGUGUUUCUCCCCUUUCUGGACAAUAAGCAUACCUCCUAUUGGUAUCUCUUUUGCUGGGUGAAACAAACUUCUCCG